rnacentral:siRNA from 1 species
UUGUCAACUGUGCCACCUCCUA